rnacentral:tRNA from 1 species
GCCUAGAUGAUCUUCGGUGGUCCGGGGUGCAGGCUUCAAAACUUUAAUUGAAGUUACCUGUAGCUGAUUAGCGUCAGAGUAGUUCGAUUCUACCUUCUGGGC